UCGGUAUUUGUUUUCUUACAACUAUAGUGUUUCUGCUGUUAAACUGCCAUGUACUAUUAGAUAACAGUUAGCCAAAUGUUUGUUUGACUGACAGCUAUCUAGCCAAUCACGCCAUACAAAUGCAUGUGCAUACAUUUUCAAUAGAAAGGGAGGUGGGGAAAGCCACUGCCAGACUCUUCUAGCAGUGGCUUAAUUCGCAGAGAACAAAAGGAUUGGGCACUUGUGAUCCUUUAUGCCUGAUCCCUCUCUCCUUUGACAUCUGCCAUUAGAGGAGAGUAGGGAAGCUCCACUAGAUGAGUUCUUGCCUGGGGUUUGUGGAAGCACAACCGAUCCAUAUCCUUCAACACGAUAUCUCUGCCAAAAGUCCAGAGAAAGGACCUCGAAAUACAAAAUCGGCCAUUGUGGGAUAUCUGAAAUGAACAAAUAAUAGAGAAACAUCUCAAAGCUGAAAGGGUGGCAGAAGUAUGCAACAUUCUCCUAGAAGAUGAGAGAAUAACUGCACACACAGAAGAAGAUUCAGCUUUUCUAUAACAUGCCCCAAGAAGCAGCAGAAACAUUGAGGCCAUUAUAGAGCAGAGCAAGCUGCGAAAUGACCACUGAAGUGAGAGAGAAGGCAUACUAGAUUAUUUUAGAAGCAUCCGGGUUUCCCCCCCCCCCGUCCCCCUUUGCAGAUAAAGCCUUUUUCCCCCCCUCUUCAUAAACUUCUAGGGGCAGAAUGUCACCUGAUCCCUCAAUGAGCUGAUAACCAGUGUCACCUCUCUCAAGAUGGACUUUACCAUCAUGGUCACAUGAUAUUUUUCCAUGAGAACCUAGAUGCAAAAAACACAGCAUAACCGCGGCUCAAAUUCACACUAUGAUGAUGCAUAUUUUAUUUCUGACACAGAUUUUUGUUUUCACUAAUGAUUCAUACAAAGUGUUAUUUACUAUUUAAAUAGAGAAUAAGUUUCCAGAGCUGCUCUACAACACAUGUAUGGGUAAAAGGUGAUGUGUCAUCCUUCCUUAUUGGAUUCUGUAUUUUGGAAAGACAGUUACAUUGUUAAAAACAAACAAAAACAGAACACAGCAAAAUAUCUGCUUAUUUAUUAAACAGUCUACAUUUGGCAAUAAACAUGAGCUAAAUUUAACUGCUUGAUAAUUUACUAAUGUGCAUUAAUAGAAUUAUAUUUGCAUUAUUUUUUACAAACUUUCUGUGUACGUAAUAUACAAAAAAAAAUUGACACAGCGCCCAUCUCUCUCGUAAUACAGCAGAGCAAUGCGAUUCAGAUGCUUUUCCGUUUUCUGGCCAUGGUCUCAUGUA